rnacentral:rRNA from 1 species
UACGGAGGGUGCAAGCGUUAAUCGGAAUUACUGGGCGUAAAGCGCACGCAGGUGGCUGAGUCAGUCGAUUGUGAAAGCCCUGGGCUUAACCUGGGAAUUGCAGUCGAUACUACUCAGCUAGAGUAUGGGAGAGGGUAGUGGAAUUCCAGGUGUAGCGGUGAAAUGCGUAGAUAUCUGGAGGAACACCGGUGGCGAAGGCGGCAUCCUGGACCGGUAUUGACGCUGAGGCGCGAAAGCCAGGGGAGCAAACGGG